rnacentral:rRNA from 1 species
AGCGAACGCUGGCGGCAGGCUUAACACAUGCAAGUCGAGCGGGCGUAGCAAUACGUCAGCGGCAGACGGGUGAGUAACGCGUGGGAACGUACCUUUUGGUUCGGAACAGCACAGGGAAACUUGUGCUAAUACCGGAUAAGCCCUUACGGGGAAAGAUUUAUCGCCGAAAGAUCGGCCCGCGUCUGAUUAGCUAGUUGGUGAGGUAACGGCUCACCAAGGCGACGAUCAGUAGCUGGUCUGAGAGGAUGAUCAGCCACAUUGGGACUGAGACACGGCCCAAACUCCUACGGGAGGCAGCAGUGGGGAAUAUUGGACAAUGGGCGCAAGCCUGAUCCAGCCAUGCCGCGUGAGUGAUGAAGGCCCUAGGGUUGUAAAGCUCUUUUGUGCGGGAAGAUAAUGACGGUACCGCAAGAAUAAGCCCCGGCUAACUUCGUGCCAGCAGCCGCGGUAAUACGAAGGGGGCUAGCGUUGCUCGGAAUCACUGGGCGUAAAGGGUGCGUAGGCGGGUCUUUAAGUCAGAGGUGAAAUCCUGGAGCUCAACUCCAGAACUGCCUUUGAUACUGAGGAUCUUGAGUUCGGGAGAGGUGAGUGGAACUGCGAGUGUAGAGGUGAAAUUCGUAGAUAUUCGCAAGAACACCAGUGGCGAAGGCGGCUCACUGGCCCGAUACUGACGCUGAGGCACGAAAGCGUGGGGAGCAAACAGGAUUAGAUACCCUGGUAGUCCACGCCGUAAACGAUGAAUGCCAGCCGUUAGUGGGUUUACUCACUAGUGGCGCAGCUAACGCUUUAAGCAUUCCGCCUGGGGAGUACGGUCGCAAGAUUA